UACUCUUUCCCUUUCUCAACACCUUGUUUGCUUAUUGUCGACAGUUGGGCAGUGUACUGAAACAGACUGGGAGAAUCAUAUAAAGUGAGGUGAUAUUGAUGACCAGUUUGACACCAGCUGUCAUUUGAGACCUCAGAAGACACUCUUUGGUGAAUUAGAAUGUAUACACGAGACCCACAACAUCUCUGUAACCCUGUUGCACUCCCUUGCCAGUUGACAGUAAGAGUUUCUUGUGGCACAGUGGAGCCAGGCACAGCUAAAAAGAGAACACAAUCGUAUGCAUGGAGUGGAGGGUGGGGAAGAUUCUUGUCACCAAAUAACUCAACCACCCUUCUUGUUACCCAAAGAUAAAACAAUAAAUAACUAGAGAGAUCAAUCCAAAGGUGAUCAAAAUAUACCUCGAGCCCUCUUGCUAUCCUUCUGCUAACACAUUAUCGUGUUUUAUAUUAGCACUCUGUGCCAUUGUAAGGAGGUGUAAUGCAAAAUGCAGAUGUAACAGAGCAUGAUAUGCACUGUACAGUAAUUAAGAUGACAUACUAAGCCAAGCAAGUUUUAAAAGGUACUGUUUAAUUACACUUGAACUGACAAUGUCCUUUUAUUUGAAAGAGAGAGAGAGAGUAAAAUAAGCUUUUUGCUUAUUGCUGGCUCUAAUCAAACCUUUGGUGCUAGAGAGCUUAGACCUUCUGUUAAUAGUCACAAGUGAAUUCGUCAUUAGCAUUUCAAGUUAGGAGGAAAUCCCAACUCUCGGCACAAUGCAGCCUAUCAAAUACUGUAUAUUCAAAUAUUAUUAGAGAGAACCAGAAAAUACAGGCCAGCCAUAUGCUGAUCUAUAAAGGUUAAAGAAAUGGGUUUGCAGGGAAAUAGAAAAAAAUCAAUGUUUCAUAUAAUAAGCAGCCACCAUACUAUCAAAAAUUAUAAGCAAACCACAAAAAUCUUGUGGAUAAACACACCUUAGUGUCUUAUUAUU